rnacentral:rRNA from 1 species
UACGUAGGGGGGCAAGCGUUGUCCGGAUUUAUUGGGCGUAAAGCGCUCGCAGGUGGCCCGUCGCGUCGUGCGUGAAAGACCCCGGCUCAACCGGGGGGUGUCGUGCGAUACGGGCGGCUGGAGGCCAGUAGGGGGAUGCGGAAUUCCGGGUGUAGUGGUGGAAUGCGUAGAGAUCCGGAGGAACACCAGCGGCGAAGGCGGCAUCCUGGACUGGUCCUGACACUCAGGAGCGAAAGCGUGGGGAGCGAGUCCGG